rnacentral:tRNA from 1 species
GCCCCCUUUGUCUAAUGGUUAUGACGUCAGACUUCUAAUCUGGAGGUUGCGGGUUCGAGUCCCGCAGGGGGUU